rnacentral:rRNA from 1 species
AACGUAGGAGGCGAGCGUUAUCCGGAUUUACUGGGUGUAAAGCGCAUGCAGGCGGUUCGCUAAGUUGGGUGUGAAAGCUCCUGGCUUAACCGGGAGAGGUCGCUCAAGACUGGCGAACUAGAGGAUGGGAAGGGAAAGCGGAAUUCCGGGUGUAGUGGUGAAAUGCGUAGAUAUCCGGAGGAACACCAGUGGCGAAGGCGGCUUUCUGGACCAUGACUGACGCUCAGAUGCGAAAGCUAGGGUAGCAAACGGG